rfam:Bacillus anthracis str. 'Ames Ancestor', complete genome.
UUUAUCCACUAGGGGGGCCUAUUAUAGGCUGAGAUCAAAUUGGAAUUUGAGACUCUUAGUACCUGAUCUGGUUAAUGCCAGCGUAGGGAAGUGGGAAAGACAUUGC